AAAUUGAAGAAGUUGAAAAAGAAUGUCCAGGUGCUCCUUUGAGUAUCGAUUAGUUUAAUGAAGUAGCUUUUUGCAAAUCUUUUGAUAUAUAGAAUGUAUGUCUAGGUGACCUUUUGAGUAUAUAUUAGUUUGGAUGAAGAAAAUAUGCAGCUGGAUCUUGGUAGUUGAAGAUUAUUGGAGUAGUUUUGCAAUUCUUUUGUUGGGUUUUUAAGAGAAUAUUUUACAAACAUUAUGUGAAGUUCUGUGUUUUUAAUUUUCAAUGUUAAAUAGACUUAUUUUUUAUAAGAUAUUUGCUCUUGUUGAUCAUGUGAGGAUCUUGAUAAUCAAAAUUUGUAGAAA